GAUGAAGAACGCAGCGAAAUGCGAUAAGUAGUGUGAAUUGCAGAAUUCAGUGAAUCAUCGAAUCUUUGAACGCACAUUGCGCCCCUUGGUAUUCCAUGGGGCAUGCCUGUUCGAGCGUCAUUUGUACCUUCAAGCUCUGCUUGGUGUUGGGUGUUUGUCUCGCCUCUGCGCGUAGGCUCGCCUCAAAACAAUUGGCAGCCGGCGUAUUGAUUUCGGAGCGCAGUACAUCUCGCGCCUUGCACUCAUAACGACGACGUCCAAAAGUACAUUUUUACACUCUUGACCUCGGAUCAGGUAGGGAUACCCGCUGAACUUAAGCAUAUCAAUAAGCGGAGGA
rnacentral:misc_RNA from 1 species